UGGGGAAUUUUGUGCAAUGGGGGAAACCCUGACACAGCGACACCGCGUGAGCGAAGAAGCCCUUUGGGGUGUAAAGCUCUGUCAACGGGAACGAAAAAAAUGACGGUACCCGUGGAGGAAGCAUCGGCUAACUACGUGCCAGCAGCCGCGGUAAGACGUAGGAUGCAAGCGUUGUCCGGAUUUAUUGGGCGUAAAGAGUUCGUAGGCUGUUUGUUAAGUCUGAUGUUAAAGACUGGGGCUCAACCUCGGAAAUGCAUUGGAUACUGGCAGACUGGAGUGCAGUAGAGGCUAGUGGAAUUCCCAGUGUAGCGGUGAAAUGCGUAGAUAUUGGGAAGAACACCGGUGGCGUAGGCGACUAGCUGGGCUGUAACUGACGCUGAGGAACGAAAGCCAGGGGAGCGAAUGGG
rnacentral:rRNA from 1 species